rnacentral:rRNA from 1 species
CCCAGUAGCGGCGAGCGAACGGGGAGCAGCCCAGAGCCUGAAUCAGUGUGUGUGUUAGUGGAAGCGUCUGGAAAGGCGCGCGAUACAGGGUGACAGCCCCGUACACAAAAAUGCACAUACUGUGAGCUCGAUGAGUAGGGCGGGACACGUGGUAUCCUGUCUGAAUAUGGGGGGACCAUCCUCCAAGGCUAAAUACUCCUGACUGACCGAUAGUGAACCAGUACCGUGAGGGAAAGGCGAAAAGAACCCCGGCGAGGGGAGUGAAAAAGAACCUGAAACCGUGUACGUACAAGCAGUGGGAGCACGCUUAGGCGUGUGACUGCGUACCUUUUGUAUAAUGGGUCAGCGACUUAUAUUCUGUAGCAAGGUUAACCGAAUAGGGGAGCCGAAGGGAAACCGAGUCUUAACUGGGCGUUAAGUUGCAGGGUAUAGACCCGAAACCCGGUGAUCUAGCCAUGGGCAGGUUGAAGGUUGGGUAACACUAACUGGAGGACCGAACCGACUAAUGUUGAAAAAUUAGCGGAUGACUUGUGGCUGGGGGUGAAAGGCCAAUCAAACCGGGAGAUAGCUGGUUCUCCCCGAAAGCUAUUUAGGUAGCGCCUCGUGAAUUCAUCUCCGGGGGUAGAGCACUGUUUCGGCAAGGGGGUCAUCCCGACUUACCAACCCGAUGCAAACUGCGAAUACCGGAGAAUGUUAUCACGGGAGACACACGGCGGGUGCUAACGUCCGUCGUGAAGAGGGAAACAACCCAGACCGCCAGCUAAGGUCCCAAAGUCAUGGUUAAGUGGGAAACGAUGUGGGAAGGCCCAGACAGCCAGGAUGUUGGCUUAGAAGCAGCCAUCAUUUAAAGAAAGCGUAAUAGCUCACUGGUCGAGUCGGCCUGCGCGGAAGAUGUAACGGGGCUAAACCAUGCACCGAAGCUGCGGCAGCGACGCUGAUGCGUUGUUGGGUAGGGGAGCGUUCUGUAAGCCUGUGAAGGUGUGCUGUGAGGCAUGCUGGAGGUAUCAGAAGUGCGAAUGCUGACAUAAGUAACGAUAAAGCGGGUGAAAAGCCCGCUCGCCGGAAGACCAAGGGUUCCUGUCCAACGUUAAUCGGGGCAGGGUGAGUCGACCCCUAAGGCGAGGCCGAAAGGCGUAGUCGAUGGGAAACAGGUUAAUAUUCCUGUACUUGGUGUUACUGCGAAGGGGGGACGGAGAAGGCUAUGUUGGCCGGGCGACGGUUGUCCCGGUUUAAGCGUGUAGGCUGGUUUUCCAGGCAAAUCCGGAAAAUCAAGGCUGAGGCGUGAUGACGAGGCACUACGGUGCUGAAGCAACAAAUGCCCUGCUUCCAGGAAAAGCCUCUAAGCAUCAGGUAACAUCAAAUCGUACCCCAAACCGACACAGGUGGUCAGGUAGAGAAUACCAAGGCGCUUGAGAGAACUCGGGUGAAGGAACUAGGCAAAAUGGUGCCGUAACUUCGGGAGAAGGCACGCUGAUAUGUAGGUGAAGCGACUUGCUCGUGGAGCUGAAAUCAGUCGAAGAUACCAGCUGGCUGCAACUGUUUAUUAAAAACACAGCACUGUGCAAACACGAAAGUGGACGUAUACGGUGUGACGCCUGCCCGGUGCCGGAAGGUUAAUUGAUGGGGUCAGCGCAAGCGAAGCUCUUGAUCGAAGCCCCGGUAAACGGCGGCCGUAACUAUAACGGUCCUAAGGUAGCGAAAUUCCUUGUCGGGUAAGUUCCGACCUGCACGAAUGGCGUAAUGAUGGCCAGGCUGUCUCCACCCGAGACUCAGUGAAAUUGAACUCGCUGUGAAGAUGCAGUGUACCCGCGGCAAGACGGAAAGACCCCGUGAACCUUUACUAUAGCUUGACACUGAACAUUGAGCCUUGAUGUGUAGGAUAGGUGGGAGGCUUUGAAGUGUGG